GACGAACGCUGGCGGCGUGCUUAACACAUGCAAGUCGAACGGAAAGGCCCUGCUUUUGUGGGGUGCUCGAUUGGCGAACGGGUGAGUAACACGUGAGUAACCUGCCCUUGACUGUGGGAUAAAUUUAGGAAACUGGGGCUAAUACCGGAUAGGAGCUCCUGAUGCAUGGUGGGGGUUGGAAAGUUUCGGCGGUUGGGGAUGGACUCGCGGCGGAUCAGCUUGUUGGUGGAGUAGUGGCUUACCAAGGUUUUGACGGGUAGCCGGCCUGAGAGGGUGACCGGCCACAGUGGGACUGCGAUAGGCCCCAGAAUCGUACGGGAGGCAGCAGUGGGGAAUAUUGCACAAUGGGCGGAAGCCUGAUGCAGCAACGCCGCGUGCGGGAUGACGGCCUUCGGGUUGUAAACCGCUUUCGCCUGUGACGAAGCGUGAGUGACGGUAAUGGGUAAAAAAGCACCGGCUAACUACGUG
rnacentral:rRNA from 1 species